CUCUCAAACCCUAAUUCUUCGGUGGUCAAAUUCCAGUGGUGGCGAUUCCUGCAUGUGCUGGAUGUGCUGGAUGUCGCGAAUUCUGGCUCGCAUAGCAUCACAGUGUGCACGAGCCCAUGGAUUCUGAUGUGAGUAUGGUGCCCUGCUUCAACGCCAUUUGCAAUGCUCAUGGACUCACGCCGCCUCCGAGCUAUCUCCGACUUGUGCAGCUUCGCAAGGCGAUUUUGAGAGAAAAGUGGCGGCCCUAACUAAAGUAAGAGUUGCGUUGCAUGCGCUUUGAGAAAGACGAGUAGCUUUCAUUGCUGAUCAAGAAAAUCAAAGGAAGUGGUGCGAGUCCGAAAUUCUCUGUGCUCACGACGUAAGGGGAGAAUGUCUUCCUCUGUGAGAUCUUUAACCGGAAGCUCGUUGAUGGUUUAGGUUGCACUAAAACCCUAAACCUGGACCAGGGCCAACAGUAGCACUGUGAGGGAUCUCUAGAAGGAGGUGGCGGUUGUGUGUAAAAUUUCGACAGAAUACCAGGGGUUUCUACAACGGCAAGCAUGUCAAUGAAGGGGCGCGGACCACGAAAAACACUUCAUAACUUCGGCGUGGAACGUGGCAUUACUGUGCAGCUCUUAACGCAGUUUCGCGGCGGUGAUGCUCGUGCCCCUCCACCGUAUUAAAUCCCUGACCUGCAGAAUCGAAAUUCCUUGAGGUUGCUGCUUUGGACCAUAGAGUUCCCGUCUGGAAUAUGGUGGUCCACAGGUUGAACCUCGUAGGCGAGCUCGCCAACAAGCAGUGUAUUUCGUGUGGCUGAGAUCCAGUACUUUGCCUCAAGGGAUUCGACGACUUUAACAUAGUCCAGGAACAGUCGCCAUGUCCAAUGUACAAAGGAUAACGUGCGGGUUAGGAUGCGUUCCUUCACGGAGUACACAAGGAUAAUUGAGAGACGCAAAGCGCUCGCUCUGUCUAAGCAACCCUCCAGCCGGCAAUCUAAGAUCGCUCAGCUUCUAACCAAGAAUUUCCGGAGAAGAUCGUUAGUCCAGAACGAUGACAAUCCUCCCGCAGUUCAGAAAGCAGAAUCGUGACAUCAUCGGCCAAUGUUUCAAAGCUGUUUCAAUGUUUCAGAUCUGUCUUAAGUAUACUCUCGAAGACUCUGAUCGCGAGAACAUUUAUGGAAUCUGUUGUAUUUCUGACCUGUAUUUUUAUUGCAGAAUGUGAUUUUGAAACACUCUGAGUUGGCUUGAGAGUUCGAUGUGCACCCUCGUGCUGAGUAGGCCAACUUUCACCUGAAAAUAAAGCGCAUCUCGGCUAAGCCAGCACCUGCAUCACAGUGAGUUGCUUAUUCUUA